rnacentral:rRNA from 1 species
UAGCUGGUCUGAGAUAUAUUUCGGAUAGGAACAUGGUAACGAUUCGAUGCUUUAGUUUCGGUAGAACAACAUAAAGUUAAGAAAUUAAAGGUCAUUCAUUUAACAGAACAAUAGGAUGUUCUUAAAUAGGAGAAGUAGUAGAUAGGAGCAGUUCUAGUCUAAAAACAGGUAGAGAGGAGCAGUCUAGGUAGCACUAGGACUGUCAGCACACAUGUCCGCGGGGUGGUACUUCACGGGAAGGCUAAGGAGCCGACCGGCACUAGGGACCCGAGGAGGAGGCCGAAGACCGCCACCGCCGAGGUCGCUCGGUCGGUUCUUCGCCGUCGCCUGGAGCUCGAGCUCGGUCCGGCUCCGUAGGAGCAGGAGUGUCGGAGGUGGCCGCGGCGGCCCCCUGCGCUCUCUCCACGGCCUAGACCCCCUCCUGUGCUACAAGCUCCACGACGCCGCCCGCCUCGGCGCCUGCGACCGGCGGCGCCGCACGCACUCGGCCCCGACCGCCCAGGAGCGCGUCCUGCUCGCCGACACCCUCCGUGGCACGCACUCCCUCACCUGUCACCUGGCUGGAGCCGAAGAGCCUUGUCGACGAGGCGCGGCAGCACGAGAGAAAGCCGCCGAAGGCGGCGGACGUGCGGUAGAGGUAGGUCCGGGCUGCCGCCAAGCCGCAACCGACGCCCUUGACCGUGCCGCACGCCUGCGGCCCUGUCCCCUCCUCCUCCCCCCACGGCACCUGGCUGCUGCUCGUGUCCAACAAAGAGAAUCCGGACUUCUGCAUGCCUUUUCCCCUAACCUCCUUUUAUAGUGCGUUGAAGCACGCCUGCUCCUGCGGCUGCGUCCACCGGUCGGUGCGAGUCUUCAUGAAAUAGUCCGAGUCGAGUCCCUGCCGUUCCUCCAGCUCGUAGGUGCUGUAGUGGUGUCAAGUGGACUGGCUGCUGGUCGGAGGGAGCGGCAGGGUCACUAACUACUAGUUGGUCAGGUCGCGUGGCCGAGUCGUGCCGUUGCCCCGUCAAGAGCGACGGUCGGCUGUGGUUCGUCGUGCCGCGCAGCUCGCGCGGGAAGUCAAGCGGCUUGGCCCGAGAGCCCUACGGCUUGAUGCCGUCCCAAACGUUCUAGUUCCGGACGUCACACCAAGAGAUGUUACAGAUGUACUAGUCGACCGGCGCUUGGCCUCAUGGCUCAUGCGACAUAAUCUUCUACGUUCGCGUAGUCUACAGAUCACAUUAUACCGGGACCGACAUCAAAGUGACGGACAUAAUAAUGACUUCAUUAACUAAUACCCCUAAAAAGUAUUCUAUCGUCUCUCUCAUCCAUACGACCACUCACCACUACGAACCAUCAUCAGGUGUUCACAACCACAACUAUGACUCUUACAUUCCCCUUUUCCUACAGAUCUUGAACUACGACAUCAUAGAACUCUGUGUGUCCCUUAUGAUCACGAGUCAUGACUACUACGUGUAACAGUUCACUGAACAAAAGUUAGAAGUACCUAGGACGAAAGACCAGUCGAGUACAAUACCCUUUGGAAUGAGUACGUCGUAGAGUGUGUAUGAAUAGGUGUAGAUACUAGAUAGUAAGUAAGUAAGUUC